rnacentral:rRNA from 1 species
AUUGAACGCUGGCGGCAGGCCUAACACAUGCAAGUCGAGCGGAUGAAGGGAGCUUGCUCCUGGAUUCAGCGGCGGACGGGUGAGUAAUGCCUAGGAAUCUGCCUGGUAGUGGGGGAUAACGUCCGGAAACGGGCGCUAAUACCGCAUACGUCCUGAGGGAGAAAGUGGGGGAUCUUCGGACCUCACGCUAUCAGAUGAGCCUAGGUCGGAUUAGCUAGUUGGUGGGGUAAAGGCCUACCAAGGCGACGAUCCGUAACUGGUCUGAGAGGAAGAUCAGUCACACUGGAACUGAGACACGGUCCAGACUCCUACGGGAGGCAGCAGUGGGGAAUAUUGGACAAUGGGCGAAAGCCUGAUCCAGCCAUGCCGCGUGUGUGAAGAAGGUCUUCGGAUUGUAAAGCACUUUAAGUUGGGAGGAAGGGCAGUAAGUUAAUACCUUGCUGUUUUGACGGUACCAACAGAAUAAGCACCGGCUAACUUCGUG